rnacentral:miRNA from 1 species
CAGCUUUUUGUUUGUGCUAUGU